GUGGGGAAUAUUGGACAAUGGGCGCAAGCCUGAUCCAGCAAUGCCGCGUGGGUGAAGAAGGUCUUCGGAUCGUAAAGCCCUUUCGACAGGGACGAUGAUGACGGUACCUGUAGAAGAAGCCCCGGCUAACUUCGUGCCAGCAGCCGCGGUAAUACGAAGGGGGCUAGCGUUACUCGGAAUUACUGGGCGUAAAGGGCGCGUAGGCGGCUCUGUUAGUCAGGCGUGAAAUUCCUGGGCUUAACCUGGGGACUGCGCUUGAUACUGCAGGGCUUGAGGCCGAGAGAGGGUGGUGGAAUUCCCAGUGUAGAGGUGAAAUUCGUAGAUAUUGGGAAGAACACCGGUGGCGAAGGCGACCACCUGGCUCGGUUCUGACGCUGAGGCACGAAAGCGUGGGGAUCAAACAGGAUUAGAAACCCGGGUAGUCC
rnacentral:rRNA from 1 species